UCCUCGNNUAGAUUGAGGAGCUUGCUCCUGAUUGAUAAACAUUUGAGUGAGUGGCGGACGGGUGAGUAACACGUGGGUAACCUGCCCUAAAGUGGGGGAUAACAUUUGGAAACAGAUGCUAAUACCGCAUAAAACCUAACACCGCAUGGUGUAGGGUUGAAAGAUGGUUUCGGCUAUCACUUUAGGAUGGCCCGCGGUGCAUUAGUUAGUUGGUGAGGUAAAGGCUCACCAAGACCGUGAUGCAUAGCCGACCUGAGAGGGUAAUCGGCCACACUGGGACUGAGACACGGCCCAGACUCCUACGGGAGGCAGCAGUAGGGAAUCUUCCACAAUGGACGAAAGUCUGAUGGAGCAACGCCGCGUGAGUGAAGAAGGUUUUCGGAUCGUAAAACUCUGUUGUUGGAGAAGAAUGUAUCUGAUAGUAACUGAUCAGGUAGUGACGGUAUCCAACCAGAAAGCCACGGCUAACUACGUGCCAGCAGCCGCGGUAAUACGUAGGUGGCAAGCGUUGUCCGGAUUUAUUGGGCGUAAAGCGAGCGCAGGCGGUUUCUUAAGUCUGAUGUGAAAGCCUUCGGCUCAACCGAAGAAGUGCAUCGGAAACUGGGAAACUUGAGUGCAGAAGAGGACAGUGGAACUCCAUGUGUAGCGGUGAAAUGGCGUAGAUCACA
rnacentral:rRNA from 1 species